AAUUGGCUGUUGCUAGGCAAAGUGGCCCUCUGUGAUGUCACCAGGAAAGAAAGGUGGCAUGUGUAUGAGAAGAGAGGGAUGGAGGAAAAAGCCACAAAGAGAAUUAUGUUACCGUAGAGACAUUGUAAGAGUAAUAUUGUGGAAACUGAAUCUUCAAAUGUUGGGAAGCCACAUGCUGAGACCUGCUACCAUUUGACUGUGAGAGCAUUUGGGAUGACCAUUUACAAAACAAAGGUCGUGAAGCUUGCUGCAAACUAAAGAAUAAGCAGUACAAAUCUGCCUGCAUACAAGCACAACUAAAGGUUUCUAAUAUGUCUGAUGAGGCUUGCAAAAAGUUAUGAAUUACAGAUCCUUUAUUGCACUAGUGGGACCCUUAUCAAGUCGAGAGCCAUUUGAGAGCUCAAUGAGCUGGAAGAUAUUAAGAGGCCCAGCCACAUCCUAAGACACCAUGCAGCCCCUACUUUGCAAGAAGAGGCAGCCUCAUAGUUGCUGCAAGCAAGAACUGGAGUACUUUGGCCUCAUAAGCUGCAUGUGGGCUUCCUAUAGACAACAGGUUAGCCAUUGUGUUACUGGACUUUGGACUAAUUCAAUACUGUCUUAAGCGUGCAGAAAGGGGGCUUUUCGUGGUGGAGAAAUCACCCAAUCAAGGCUUUUGGAUUUUGUUUGUGAAAACUAAAAUGCAAUGAAAAAAUGUUCAUAGUCACAAGGCAAAUCCAUAGUAUUCACAUGAGUCCUGAUUUCACCCAUGAAUCACCCCAAAAGACUCCAACCAGGGAAAUAAUUCAGAAAAGUCCACUUCAUAAAUUCUCUUUUCUCAGAUUUUUUCUACUAAAUCAGUCAUUAUCACCAUAGCAGAACACGGAAGUUCUCAGCUCCCUGCUUUACCAGUCCCCACCUACCUAUCUAUCUAGCAGAUUUUCAGUUUUAAGGUGUGCUUAUGACAAUUAUUCAAGUGAGGCUGUUCCUGGCAACGUAUUUACUUGAGUGUUUUAUUAUACACCUGUUAAAAAGCAAAGUCUCUCUUGACUAUGGAGUACAUUUUAAUUUUUCGACAGAAUUUGAUAGAAAAAUAUAGUUCCCGGAUUAGUUAACAAAUGCUAAGAAGUGUAAUCUAAAAAAUUUUCUUAUGAACUACAGCACAGUUCAGCUUCUCAGCUCCUCUACCUGUAUCAAAUAACUUCUGUGAUCAGUUUCACUCUUUUUAUCCUGUCAGUUGCAUUUGUCUCUAGUAUUAAGCAUGUCUCAAUAGGAGUUGUGAUUUUUAGCCUUCUGCCUUAUAAAUUCAGCACAUAGUGUGACUGUUAAGCUUCCGCAGACCAAUAAGCAGUUCUGAUCUAUUCUACUAAUCAGCCCAGAAAUACAGGUUGCAUAUGCCUUAUUAAAAAUACUUGGGACCAGAAAUG